CUGCGGGCAUUAGAAUCUAAUGCUGGGAGAUCACCUUCCAGGAUCAAAUUAUUACAAGAAUACGGAGAAUAAAAGCCCUAAGCACUGUCUCCCUCCCCGGCUAAACCCACACGUUUAAAGGAGGGUCCCAGGCUAUGCAGAAAUGGACCACCGAUAUGAAGACAACCCUUCCUGGGAAAACCAAACCGCACCUGCUUCCCCCCAAGGAGAGAUAGAAGACCCUCCCUGUGAGUGUCCAGAUCGUGGAGUAAGAGCCGUAAAACCAGAAGUGCCACAAUCCAUGGAAAGCCAGACACCGCAUUGUUUCAGUGAAACCACCAAGUCUAUCUGAAAGGUAGGAAUGAACGAAGAAGGAAGACACUGGAGAAAAAUCCAAGGGCGUUCAGGGAAACAAACUCUCUCCACAGAGAUAAUUGUUUAGCUUGUUUUUACCGUUGAUUGGAAGUGGUGAAGGUUUCUGAUACGAACGCAGUGGCUAGGAGCAGCAGUGCUGUCUGUGGCAGACGGACGCUUUCGAUUUUAAUCAUGAGUGGCGGAAGGAAGCGGCCGGGGCUGGAGAAUCGAGCUGGAGAAAAAGUGACAGGGAAAGGACUGUCGUGAUAGAAUUGAUGUCAGAGAUCUCCUGUGGCAUCAUCAACACCUUUCCUGAGAGAAUGGUGAGAUAUCAGUCUGGUCAACCCUUCGAGAUCAUAAUGGAAUGGACAAUUUAUGACUCGCAAUUUACAGACCAAGAUCCCUAUGGAAAACCGGUAGAAGCAGCAUGGCUUAAUGGAUCAAGUACGGGACUGGGAGUCAGAAGAAACUGGGUUCUAAUCCCAGAUC